rnacentral:tRNA from 1 species
GGAGAGGUGGCCGAGCCGGCUGAAGGCACAGGUUUGCUAAACCUGCGUAGGGGCAACUCUACCGAGGGUUCGAAUCCCUCCCUCUCCG